CGGGAAGGGAGGGAGGGGGAAGCCCAGCAAACCAAAAACACACACGCAUCGCUUUGCUUUGGAGGGUAAUUACUCUGAAUUUGGUUAAACCAACUUGCUCUAGCUAACUAGAUUAGUUUACAUCUUGUGGUAGAAGAAGAAAUACAAAUUACUUAGAUUGCAAUAAACCAUGUUUUUCUAGCUAAAUAGAUUAGUUUAUAUCUUGUGGCAAGGAACAAGGAGGACGGCUCAGCAAUGCCUGCUGCUUGCUCUGCCCACUCGCUCGUUCAGGGAAGUUUGCUUUAUGUGUGACCUCUAGCCUCUGACCCCGGGGCCUCCCUCAGGCCGCUCCUCCAAGAGGGGUAAAGUGCUAGGCCUGGGACAAAGAAAAACAAAGCCGCAUCCAGACCCUGCAUCUUCCAACAUUUGCUCGUGGCUGCCCUACUGUGCGCAGCACAGAGCUCUGGGCACUGAGUGGCAGGAUGUGAGACCCACAGUCACACACAGCCCCAAGCUUUCCAUGCUUGGCUGUUGCUGUCUUGUGAUUGUUAACAAUUUAUGAACACAAGCAAUGUUGCUGGCCGUGGUAGCAAGACAAGGAACCAGACAAGACAGGGACAGAGAGGAUGGGGCCUGCGUGUGGGAGCUGUGGCGUUGCUGGGGGCACAAGGUGUUCCUAAGAGCCCAUGAGCCCCUCCAGAACAGGACUCUGGGAUCCGUGUCCAGGGCCUUGUCCCUGUCAGCAGCGUUUGCCGAAUGAGUGCUUCCUGGAGAAUGGACGGGGUUGCCCCCGAUGAGUCCAGAAGCUCCUGCCGUGCCGGAGCUCCUUGGCCUGUCCUUUUGCGAAGAAGAAAAGACGCUUGCUGCCUGAUGCCUGCGUCUUUCUCUCUUUUUUAUUUCUAAGAUUUAUUUAUUUGAAAGUCAGAGUUACUCUGAGAGAGAAGAAGAGGUAGAGAAAGAGAGAGAGGGGUCUUCCAUUUGCUGGCUCACUCUCCAAUUGGCCGCAAUGGCCGGAGCUACACCAAUCCGAAGCCAGGAGCUUCUUCCGGGUCUCCCACGCGGCUGCAGGGGCCCAAGGACUUGGGCCUUCCUCCACUGUUUUCCCAGGCCAUAGCAGAGAGCGGUCGGAAGUGGAGCAGCUGGGACUCGAACCAGCGCCCAUAUGGGAUGCUGGCACUGCAGGCAGCGGCUUUACCUGCUACGCCACAGCACGGGCCCCUCUUUCUCUCUCUUAUUGUCUCCAUCAUAGGAGAGGCCUGAGGGGAAAGUCGUGACCAGUACUACAGUUUCAGAAGAGUCUUUUUUUGUUUUUAAAGAUGUAUUUAUUUAUUUUGAAAGUCAAAGUUAUAGAGAGAAAGGAAAAGAGAAAAAAGACUCUUCCAUCCACUGAUUCACUCCCCAGGUGGCUGCAAUGGCCAGCACUGGACCAGGCCAAAGCCAAGAGCCAGAAGCUUCAUCCAGGUCUCCUCUGUGAGUGGCAGGGGUCUAAACAUUUAGGCCAUCUUCUACUGCUUUUCCCAGGCCGUUAGCAGGGAACUGGAUUGGAAGUGGAGCAGCUGGGACAUGAACAGGCACCCAUAUGGGAUGCCGGCACUGCAGGCAGCGGCUUUACCUGCCACGCCACAACGCCAGCCACCCUAUCCCACCAGCAGGAAUCUUGGUGGGCCUGAGAGCAGCUCCAGUGGAGAAAGUUAAUUCCUGCCUGAGAAUGCUCCCCCCGCCCCGUGUGCUACACCCCCUGAGUGUCCCUGCACGUGGCAGUGUCAUGCAGGCAUCGCAAGGAACUUAACAGGCAUGUGCAUUCGGGAGAACCACAUUAGACUGGACACACACGUUUUCUUUGCAUCAAGUUCUGUCCGGGACUGGCAGUCUGCUCCGGGGAGGGGGGGCUCCCUCGUGUCUCACUUCUCUGCCAUCGCCAGGUGUUGCCUGUAGUCGGGGGUGACCCAGCGCCCCGCCAUCAGUGUUGCAGGCCUGGGCCAGGCCAGGGGCAGGGCAGGCAGUUCCACUUCCAGCCUCGGACUGACACUGGUCCCUUGGCCUCACCUCACCAUGAGGAAGCGUGCGAAGCGGGUCUCUCGUGGACAGCCGUGUGCCUGGCUGGGCGCGAGGGCUCUGUUACUACCGAGAAGUUGCAGUGGGCGCGAGGGUGAAAGAGCUGCGUGCCGUGUGAGACGGGCGGUUUUUGUGUCUGUCUUGUGGAUGAAGAGCCUUGGAGGAGAGACUUGGUCCAGGGCAGGUCUGAGCCUUUCUAACCGCACGCCACACGCCCGCUCCAGGGCUCUGUGACUCAGGGUCAUUGACCCAUUCUUGCUACUCUUUGAGUGACAGGAGCCUCAUGACUUUCUCUGGCCCUCCUCGAAUCUUGCUGGUUAGGUAUUCCUGUUUGAGCUCCAAAAGUUCAUGGAAAAUGUAUAGUAUGAAAAAGCUAUGCCUGGAUUUCAAAAAAAAACAUUUGUACCAGAGUAACUUUAAAAUUCCAUUAGCACAAGUGUUUUGAAGACACCCGCACCCCCUGCCCCCCAACACACACACCCUGUGUGGUGGCCAGACCUCCGUGGGCAGCAGAACUAACUGUGAGGCUGAGAGGAGGCAUCCCGACCCAGGCCAGGUGGACAGGAAGGUCCCUUGCAGCAAGCUGUGUUUCCUGGAAGUCCAUCUGAGGUGGUGCAUUACCCUCUGACCUUGGGUGGGUUAUGUAAUCUCUCUGACCCUCAGUUUCCAAGCCUGUGAAAUGGGGUGGUAAGAGCACCGACCGCCCACUGCUACAGUGAGGAUGACUUGUGUCUCACAGGUGGCUAGCAGAUGCUCAGUGUCAGUCAGAGCACACCACGCAGCAGAGGGAGGCAGGGGCCGGCCAGGAGCCCAGACUGGAGAGUAGGCGGUCAGCUGCAGGGGCUGCGGGAGAUUGGAGAGACCGUCACCUCCGGCCCUCCCCACCCCCGGCCUGGGUUUGUGCACUGCAGCACUGUGACGGUCAGCUCUGCCUUCUGGAAGCAGCGACCCAAGUGCUGACCGCAGUGAGCUGGGGCGUGGCAAAGGGCCGCAAGCAGCCGGGGUUACUGAUGCCAACUCUGCCCUCCCCUUACACCGUCUCCAGGAGGGAAGUGAAGAUCUAGGGCCCUUGCAAGGCCUCACUGCCCUGUCGUGACAUUGGUGGGAGGAAGGUGCCUGGCUGAGCUGGCCCCUUGGCUGUCAGGUUGACGACAAGGCCAGACAGACCUGGAGGAGAAGGAGCUGGAGGAAGACGAAGGAGGUCGAGGUACAGAGGAGGUGGCCAGGGCAGGCAUGAGGCCUAGAGGGUGGACAGGGUACACAGGAGGUGGCCAGGGGGGCAUGGGACCGAGAGAGUGGAGAGGAGGAGCUAGACAGACCGAGCAGCCCCUCGCACACCCAUCUUUUGUGUCAUUCACUUAAACCUUGCAGCUACCAUGGGAGUGGACACUGGGGGCCCAUUUUACAGGUGAGGAAGCUGAGGCUCAGAAGCCUUCAGCCCAUCAGCUAUCUGAUUGCAAAGUGUCUUCUUUCUUUGUUUCUCCUCUUGAAAAAAAAAAAAAAAAACCAUACAAGUAUGUGUUCUUAUAAAGUAGGUAAUCAUUAUAAACAGCAUAGACAAAAAAUUAUAAAAUUCCACCAUCGGGUGGGAUAACCACUGUUAACAUUCGAAGCAUAUCCCUCUAGACGUUCCCCCAUACAAAUAUGUGUGUCUCCCUCUCUCUGUGUGUCAUCUCCACAUGCACACAGUUGAAUGUGUUUUUAUAAAAGCAGGAUCCUUGUGACCCACUGUCUUCGGAAGCCUCCUGUAUGCACUUCCUCAUGCAGCCUGAACGUCUUUGUGCUGCAGGAAACCCAUAUGCAAGGCAUAAUUUCCAGUGGCCACAGAACACAUUUCGAUCAUUCCCAAGUUUCCAGUUUGGUGGGAGAGAACAUUUACUAGGCUAUGUGUUCAUGGGGAGAAAAAGAAAAAAGAAAGAAAUCCAGAAAAUCUGGAGGGAGAGAAGAGGCAAAAACUCUCAGCGUGUCCCUCUUUCCUCAUCCCUCGUACACCCAGGUGCCCCCGCCUGCCCCCCGAGGUCCCCAGUGACGCCUCCAGCCGUUCAUUUUACUGCUCGAGGGACCCCUCAAGCUCAGCUCUUCCCUGUCAAUUAUUACGCAGACAGAAGGGGGCCCACGGAACACCACGAGGGUUCUCCUGCCGACUUGGUUUCUGGUGUAAGACCUUCCUCUGCUGCUCUCGUGGUCUCCAGGGGCCUGGGACCUGGUCUGGUAGCUGACAGCAGAGACCCCACCUGAGAGCCCAUCAUCACAAGGCUGCACCAGUGCCAGGGUCUGGGAGGAGGCAGCAAGCGCAGCACCUGUUCCCUGGUAAAGGCCGCCCGGGGCCAAGGUGGGACAUCCAGCUCUCAGGAAGCUGCUCCCAGUCGUCUGGCAGUUCACGAACGGCCCCCACCAGGACAGCCGUGGCAACCAGGCAGGCCAGCCUCCGGACAGAAGGACUUGUCGAAAGUGCCACUUGGUGACUCUCGCAGAUUGCUGCCGACAGCCCUGCAGAGGGCCAGGCCAUCUGCCUUGGCGUUUCUCAGGGCGGAAGGGGCUGGGAGGGGAGAUAUUAGGUUUCCACUUCAGUCGCUACUUUGAUGUUCAAAGCUGUUUAAUAUUCAUCAAGCCGGCCCUUCAGUUGUAAUUGCAGUCAUUACCCUC